rnacentral:tRNA from 1 species
GGGGUUGUGGCUCAGAGGUAGAGCGCUUGCUUCACAUGCAUGAGGCACUGGGUUCAAUCCUCAGCAUCACAU